GAAACAGCCAGUCGCUAGCCAACCGCCGCGCGGGCCACACGUCAGCUCCCGGCGUCAAACACACGCCCGCAAAACCAUAACAAAAACACACUCUAACAUGCAUUUGAAUUUAGAACUAUAGAACCCGUAUUCCCAAUUCGAAUCUGUUUAAACAGCUGUCAAAAUUUUGAGGUUAUUUAUGUACCAACCUUUUUUGUGUAGUGCAGUGCAGUGAUGUGAAUGUGUCUGAUUUUGUAAAUACAGUGAAGAGUGCACAGUGUUCAUAAACGGAAAACUUCUAGAAAAUAAUCAAAAUGGCAGCUUUCAAGUUUUUAAUCUGUCUGUGCUUCGUGCAAGCAGCUUUGGCUAAAGGGUCCAGGUCGAAGGUGGAGUGUACUCCCGAAGUGAUGAAGGUGACCAUUCCCAUGGACGGAGACAGGAGCAUCACAUACCUGGAACAACUUAAAGAUUACAAGCCUUGUCAGCCUGAAAUGGACGGCAACACGGCCAUGUUCGUGCUGGACCUGCAGGAUCCUCACCGUUGCGCCGUCAUGAGAGUGCUGGAGACCAACACUGGCAAACGCAGUUUCUACAGCACGAUCGUGAUAGAGAACUCAGUGGGCGAGGUGGAGACGGUGCGCGCGCGCUGCGUGCUGGAGGGACGCCUGCGCGCGCUCAGCAAGCGCGACGUGCCGCCCUUCCCGCUCGACUUCAAUGAGCCCGAUGUGCUGAACAUCACGAGGUACGAAGAAGGAAAAGCUCCCGAACCAGUUCUCGGAGCCAUCGUCAAGCAGAAUGGCAAACAGGUAUCAGGCGAGAUCUCAGUAACCCCCGGCACUCCGCUGACAAUGGAAAUAUUCCUGAACGACAAGUCAGCUCCUAUCUACGGUCUACUGGUGAACUACAUGCACGUCACUGAUACUGGGAAACAACAGGAGACUAUCAUAUUGAAUGGCUGCUCAGUAGACACAUAUCUAUUCGAGAACUUCGUGACGGCUGAUGGAGACACGCUGACGGCCAAGUUCAAGGCGUUCAAGUUCCCCGACACCACGUACGUGCAGUUCAAGGGUACUGUCACCGUGUGCCUCGAUAAGUGUCAGGGGGUACAAUGCAGUAACGGUCAAAUAGCGUACGGGCGCAGACGACGCUCCAUCAGCGCGGGCGCAGACAGCAACAAGGUGUACGAGGUCUCGCUCACUACCUUCAUUAAAGUCGACUUUGAGGACGGACAGAGGGAAGCAGAAGACGUACUAGCACUCUUGAAGAACUUGAAAGUAGCAAACCAGCGCCUAGAAGACAUGGACGGCACCCCAGCUACAGUUGCCGAGCAGACGUCCAAAAACGUUCUCAUUUACGAACAAGAAACAUUUACUGAGAGCAAAGCUAGUAUCCUAACUAGCAGUCUAGUAAUCUUAGUUAGUUUGCUUCUUCUGUUCAAGUAAAAAACCUGUUGAAAACAUGGCAAUAAAUACCUAAAAGUUACGAAAUUCUUCAACUGGCAAUUCUUUUUUUAAAGUCUCAAGAUUGACAGUCGAUGGUAGCGCCAUUGUUUGCGUCGAAUUUUGGAACUAACUUCAAUAUGAUCAGUUGUAUAAAUUGAGUUUUUUAACGGUUUUUUUAUACCUUAUUUACAAAGUCAUAAAACUGUUGUCUUAAAGUACAUAAAAACUAAAUAUUUUUGCCCCAAAAAUGUAACUAAUAAAAUCAAGUACAUAUUAAUGAAUUAAUUGUUUUAUUAAUAAUUGCUCUGAACCAUUCCGUUAGCACUUAACAUGAAACUUAGAAUAAAAUAAAGUGAUUUAACUAUAGCAAGGUAAUUCUAACGUAAUUAAUUUAGUUUAGAUUUUAAUGUUUUUAGUACCAGUGAAAAGGUGAGCGCACAUUGUUAUUAAAAAAAAUAGAUACAAAAUGUUUCUAAUAGUCAAAAAACCUGGAGACUUAAUUUAAACCAACUUUUUACCAUGAAUUUUCAUUCUUUAACCAACUGUUUAUAAUGAAUAUUUACAUUCAAUUUUCAGUAGUUUUAAGAAAAAAAACAUUUAUGUUGUUGGUGAAAAUGGGCCUGACAAUACAUAUUUUUUUACCUACAAUUAUAUCUACGAGUAAGUAGAUAUAAAAAUAUAGUUGUCAAAAUAAUGUGCGUUCAUCUAAAUCGAUCUAAAUCGUAAUGCAACCGCAUUAAGCCCACUAGUCUUAUGAUAACUGUUCCAUAGAUAGCCUCCGUCCAAUAGUUGUGAAUAUUUUAACAUAGCACUUACAAAUGUAAGAUCUCUACAGUUUUUGUAAAAGCUUAAUAUUUUCUAUCUUGAAAAAAUACGAAUUUUACUAUAAUAAUCAAUUUAACUGGCAACAUCUACCAAAAAGUUUGUCACAUUUUUUGCUUUGUAAUAAAUGACAAGUUUGUCUUUAUAAAUAAGAAAAAUACCUAUCAUCCAAUAUGUUACUUUAAUCACAAAAUAUGAUUACGAUACAUCACAUUCAUAAAAAGAUUUUAAAAAUCUCUCUGUCCUCGGCCAUAUUUUUCUACUAAAUAAUUUAAUAUUUUGGUGCUUGCAAUACUGACACGUUUCGUGAUUCCAAUUUCGAAUUAGCUUUUUGGACCCUUUUUACAAAUUGUAUUUUUGGUUUUACUUCGAUAAGUACUUUUAUGUAUAAUGUUUUUUUGGAUUUUAAGUACUUUUUGGAGUUGCCUAUUAGGGGUAAAUUUAUCUCGUUACCUAUAUUAAUGAUCAGGGUUUAGGAAGAAACUAAGUGACCAACGAAGGUGUACAAAGUUGCUUUAGUUAAAAGCCAAAUGUGAAAGCGUCCUUAAUAUUUAUAGGAUUUUUAUCAUUUUUUUCAUACAUAAUCAUGGUUUUGGGGUUUUAUAAAAUCCAUUGAUUCAUCCAGGUGGACAGGGUUUUUUCAUAAUAACAUCGCGUUCAAAUUUGUAAAAAGGGUCCUACGCCUAACUGUAAGAUUAAGAAUUGAUUAGAAAUAAAAAUUAAAUAAAUAAAGAAUAUUUUCGAAAUUA
rnacentral:misc_RNA from 1 species